rnacentral:ncRNA from 1 species
AGAGGUGUAGGAUAAGUGGGAGCUCUCGGGCGAAAUUGAAAUACCGCUACUUUUAACGUUAUUUUACUUAUUCCAUGAAUUAGAGGAGAGGCACGAACCCUCUUUUUGGACACAAGGUCAGCUUCGGCCGGCCGAUCUGGGCAGAAGACAUUGUCAGGUGGGGAGUUAGGUUGGGGCAGCAUAUCUGUUAAAAGAUAAUGCAGGUGUCCUAAGAUGAGCUCAAUGAGAACAGAAGUCUCGUAUAGAACAAAAGGGUAAAAGCUCGUUUGAUUCUGAUUUCCAGUAUGAAUACGAACCGUGAAAGCGUGGCCUAUUGAUCCUUUAGACCUUCGGAAUUUGAAGGUAGAGGUGUCAGAAAAGUUACCACAGGGAUAACUGGCUUGUGGCAGCCAAGCGUUCAUAGCGACGUUACUUUUUGAUCCUUCGAUUCCGGCUCUUCCUAUCAUUGUGAAACAAAAUUCACCAAGUGUUGGAUUGUUCACCCACCAAUAGGGAACGUGAGCUGGGUUUAGACCGUCGUGAGACAGGUU